ACGGGGGUGUGGGGAAGUGAUGUCGCGCGUGCUCGUAGUAAACCCUAAACCACCCUCUUUCAUGGGUCAAAUAGUGUGAGGGGUCUUUGUCCGGUGUUUCCCCCUUGUGGACUCCCGCGAAAAAGAAACGACCGAUGCCUUCGCACGUGCGGCUUGCCCCGAGGGAGGUUCGCAGGUGGUGCUGCCGGCGACCUUUGCCCGGCGCUUGUGGCACUUGUUGUCCUCGCCUCCCGGCCACCCCCAUUUUCG
rnacentral:telomerase_RNA from 1 species